AUAGAUACACACACAUAUACACGCACACAUAUCUAUGUAUGUAUAUAUAUACACACAUACACAUACAUACACACACACAUAUAUGCACAUACACACACAUAUACAGAUAUGUAUGUACAGUAUAUAUAUAUAGAUAUUUAUACAUAUUAUAUAUACAAGGGAGUUUGGACACAUGCUCAGCAAGCCAGCAAUAUAAAUCCCAGCGAGGUUUAGAAAUGGCUCUUUAUGGCCGGUCAUGUUCUUUUCACUCGUGUUCAUUGUAAUUUAGCUUUUAUUAGGGCACAAAUUGCUUUCAAGGAGAGUCACUGUCUGCAGCAACGGCAACAAUAGCGGGAUGAGCCACUCUUGCUGUGCAAGUUCCCAUUCCUCCGACUCCAGCUCUGCCGCUGGCUCGGCAGGGGCAGCUGCUUUCCUGCACUGGGCCAGCCAUGCAUGCAGCUACGGUGUUUUAUGAGAGGGAUGCUUUUGCCCAGAGGAAACAUUUAGUGGCGUCUCAAAGCCCUUCAAAGAAAACCUGUCCAACACCGUGGGAAGUCCCUCUGGUUUGUAUAUCGCAUAAUAAGGGCCGCUGGCUGCAUCCGGGCUGUCACAGUGACCACUGCAAGGUUUGAAACCGCAGGAGCAUCAAUGAGCUCCUUCUUGGCUUGUUUGCUGCCGAGUUAAAAAGAGAGCGUGGGCAUAAGGAGAAUGGGAUCUUGUAAGUAAAGAGUGGUUUCUCUCUCCAUUUUCCACAGGCAAAAUGCCCUGGAUGGAUAUUCAGUUAAAAUGAGCAGGCAGAGCCCAGAGCUGUCCCGGUCUGGAGGGGAGAUAGGGCCAUGAUGGGCGGCCUGGGUCAGACAGGGAAAUGGUUUUGUGCAUGCUUUGCAUCGCCUCUUCAUGAUCUCUGCAAGGACUUAUCUCAGAGCACGGGAUCACAGACAGCGAGGCUGGGAAGGGACCUCAGGAGGACACAUCUAGUCCAACCCCCUGCUCCAAGCAGGGCCAGCCCCAACUACAUCAUCCCAGACAAGGCUUUGUCUGCCUGGGUCUGAAGGAUGGAGAUGCCCCCACGCCUCUGCGUAACCUGUCCCAGUGCUUCACCACCCUCCUAGUGAGAAAAUUCCUCCUAAUAUCCAACCUCAACUUCCCUUGCUGCAACUUGAGCCCAUUGCUCCUUGUUUUGUUCCCCAUGGACCCACGGUCCCCAUGGUCCACGGAUAUGGAAACGGCCACUUCCGUCCCUACGCGUUCAGGAGCAGAGAGGGAAGAGACUGGAGCUGAGUGAGUCCUUCCAAGUCACCCCUUGCCUCCCUGGGCCUACCCAAUUCUCUGCACCAUAUCCACUGCCUCAAUCAAGCCAUCAGUGCUGCUAGGAGCCAGUCUCCUACAUCAGGGGUGCUGGGAUCGCUGCUUUUUUAGGCCGCUCCUAGAUGAAGAAACAUGAAGGGUCUUACUCUGUUCAGGACAGGGUGUCUUCAAUGGCUGUUUAAAUGUGUGCUCAUGCACAUGCUCCUGCCUCCCCUUCUGAUUAUGAUUACCCUUAAUUUAGCUUCCUAAACAGGCUGGCUCGGCAGGGAGAGCUGUAUAACCCAGCCACUUCUCUCCCCCUACCUGAAGUUGGCACAAGUAAUGGUUGUGCGUAGCUCUUCCUAGCUCACCACAAAGACAAGCUGGCAAACCAGACAAGGGCCCCGUCAGAGUAUUUUGGCACACGACCUCUUUCUAAUACCGUUCCCACCCCCGUUGACCCCCUGAAGCCCAAGAAGACAGAGCGGUGCAUGAAACCUUCACGUGCCUAAACUACGUUGGACUGAAUUUCAAUCAGAUGCUUGGGCCGUGCUUCAAGCGGGCACGGGCUGACCGAUGUUGUGGGGUUGCGUGGUCGCAGGUGUGAAGCUCCAUGGCUUUGGCUGCUGUUGGUGUAGGUGUUUGGGGUUGUUUUGAAGUGGGAACUCAUGUUGAAGCUGAAGGGCUAAGACUUUGCAUGGACUGAAAUUGGAAAUAAUGGUGUGCACGAACCUUGAGAACCAGCACGGCUGGGUUUUCACGUGCUAGGAAGAGCUCCUUCCCGCAUCCUUAUGCUCACCAAAGGUGUCCAAAGAGCAGCAUUUUUGAAGCAAGCAAAAGGGGUCUAUGAGAGAGCGUGCAAAAGCGGUCUUGGCCAUGUAACGGUGCUGACUUCGUGUUCAAAGCCUUUGUGAAGGCCGUUAGCCAUUCGGAGAGGUGGAGUUACUGCAGCCUGUACCUGUACAGUUGCAUCCCGUGUCCUCAAAUGGACACUCAUUUAUUUGUAUUAUGACAAAGCCUAAGGACCCCAAUCCUGGACUGGGUCACUUUUCUGCUACAUGGGACCUAUGCUAGGAGGAGGGUUGGUGAUAUGCGAUCCAAAUAGCAGAUUGGGAGUCUGCUUCUCUUCCACCCUUUAAUUCCAGCAGCAGAAGUUUGUGCUUUGAGGCAUAUAGGCCUCAUUUUUGGCAGAGUCAACUAUACUAGGCCCCAGAUAAGCUCUUAGUAGGAGACAGUCUUCCCAUCAAGGCUAUUUUACUUUUUGUUGUUGUUGCUGCUGUUGUUCUGCCGAUAAUAAAAUAACCUGCAUGUCUGCCAAAGUGGAGCAGAACUGCCCAGUGCCUUGCAUGCAGGAAGUCGGUGGUUUUUUCCUCGGUUGAAUGAUUGCUUGUGUGGGUACCGAAUGCAGCACCUGGCGGGAGGGCAUUGGCCAACACACAUGAGGACAACCUUCAGCAGGACAUUUCCCCAAUUCUCAGAAAGAGAACAACACCUGCAGGCUUUGAAUGCAAGUUGGGGAUGCGGCUCAGAGAAGGGAGACUAGUGCCUGUAUGGCACUUGGAUGUAUUAAAAAAUCAUGGAUGCAGAAGAGAUGGUUUUUCACACUGGGAGUUCACUGGAAAACCAUUGCUCUAAGGGUGGAAUCAAGCUCUCCUUCGCUUUAAGAAACCCUGAAAUCUUUCCCCAUACUCCAUAGCACACACAUGCUCCCAAACCUGCGCUAGUUUGAUAUAUCGGUAUAUUUAUAUAGAUGGGCACGUGUAUAAAUUGUGAAGAAUAAACUUAAUUUUAUUGCUGCCUUCUGAGUGGACGUUGGCAGGACAGUGCA